rnacentral:rRNA from 1 species
AUGAACGCUAGCUACAGGCUUAACACAUGCAAGUCGAGGGGCAGCAUGAACUUAGCUUGCUAAGUUUGAUGGCGACCGGCGCACGGGUGAGUAACACGUAUCCAACCUGCCGAUGACUCGGGGAUAGCCUUUCGAAAGAAAGAUUAAUACCCGAUGGCAUAGUUCUUCCGCAUGGUAGAACUAUUAAAGAAUUUCGGUCAUCGAUGGGGAUGCGUUCCAUUAGGUUGUUGGCGGGGUAACGGCCCACCAAGCCUUCGAUGGAUAGGGGUUCUGAGAGGAAGGUCCCCCACAUUGGAACUGAGACACGGUCCAAACUCCUACGGGAGGCAGCAGUGAGGAAUAUUGGUCAAUGGACGAGAGUCUGAACCAGCCAAGUAGCGUGAAGGAUGACUGCCCUAUGGGUUGUAAACUUCUUUUAUACGGGAAUAAAGUGAGGCACGUGUGCCUUUUUGUAUGUACCGUAUGAAUAAGGAUCGGCUAACUCCGUGCCAGCAGCCGCGGUAAUACGGAGGAUCCGAGCGUUAUCCGGAUUUAUUGGGUUUAAAGGGAGCGUAGGCGUACGCUUAAGUCAGUUGUGAAAGUUUGCGGCUCAACCGUAAAAUUGCAGUUGAUACUGGGUGUCUUGAGUACAGUAGAGGCAGGCGGAAUUCGUGGUGUAGCGGUGAAAUGCUUAGAUAUCACGAAGAACUCCGAUUGCGAAGGCAGCCUGCUGGACUGUAACUGACGCUGAUGCUCGAAAGUGUGGGUAUCAAACAGGAUUAGAUACCCUGGUAGUCCACACAGUAAACGAUGAAUACUCGCUGUUUGCGAUAUACAGUAAGCGGCCAAGCGAAAGCGUUAAGUAUUCCACCUGGGGAGUACGCCGGCAACGGUGAAACUCAAAGGAAUUGACGGGGGCCCGCACAAGCAGUGGAGUAUGUGGUUUAAUUCGAAGCAACGCGAAGAACCUUACCAGGUCUUGACAUCCGAUGCAUAGCACAGAGAUGUGUGAAAUCCUUCGGGACAUCGAGACAGGUGGUGCAUGGUUGUCGUCAGCUCGUGCCGUGAGGUGUCGGCUUAAGUGCCAUAACGAGCGCAACCCUUAUCGAUAGUUACCAUCAGGUGAUGCUGGGGACUCUGUCGAGACUGCCGUCGUAAGAUGUGAGGAAGGUGGGGAUGACGUCAAAUCAGCACGGCCCUUACGUCCGGGGCUACACACGUGUUACAAUGGGGGGUACAGAAGGCAGCUACACGGCGACGUGAUGCUAAUCCCUAAAGCCUCUCUCAGUUCGGAUUGGAGUCUGCAACCCGACUCCAUGAAGCUGGAUUCGCUAGUAAUCGCGCAUCAGCCACGGCGCGGUGAAUACGUUCCCGGGCCUUGUACACACCGCCCGUCAAGCCAUGAAAGCCGGGGGUACCUGAAGUGCGUAACCGCAAGGAGCGCCCUAGGGUAAAACUGGUGAUUGGGGCU